rnacentral:rRNA from 1 species
UACGAAGGUCCCAAGCGUUAUCCGGAUUUAUUGGGUUUAAAGGGUGCGUAGGCGGACUAUUAAGUCAGUGGUGAAAGCCCCAGGCCUAACCUGGGAACUGCCAUUGAUACUGAUGGUCUUGAGUACAUUUGAGGUGGGCGGAAUGUGUCAUGUAGCGGUGAAAUGCUUAGAUAUGACACAGAACACCGAUUGCGAAGGCAGCUCACUAAACUGU